rnacentral:rRNA from 1 species
AGGUUUCCGUAGGUGAACCUGCGGAAGGAUCAUUAUCUAUUGCGAAAGAAAGAAGUGGUAUGCAUCCCGCAAACUGGCUGCACUAGUUCUGUACGAGACCCCCUAGGGGGACUCACCUUUGAGUGUUUCGGAGAGCCAUGUGAUGACGGACACCUCAGACCCAGCUGGCGGGCCACACUCGGGACAGCCCUUGGGCUUUCGGGCAUACUCUGCCCUUGCCGACUGAGCCCUUGUGGGUGCAGGCAGGGGAUGUUGCCUCUUCUUUUCUCUUCAUUGCAAUUCCUUCAGUGUAAAUUGACUUAUGUUGCUUCCCGCCAGUUGCCUAAAGGCUUGGAUGGGCCUGGACGGCCUGGCGGGGAGGGAAAAUCAAAUUCUGGUUGCACUGUAGUUUGUCUGAGUGGUAUACACAAUAAACAAGUUAAAACUUUCAACAACGGAUCUCUUGGUUCUCGCAUCGAUGAAGAACGCAGCGAAAUGCGAUAAGUAGUGUGAAUUGCAGAAUUCAGUGAAUCAUCGAAUCUUUGAACGCACAUUGCGCCUUCUGGUAUUCCGGGAGGCAUGCCUGUUCGAGCGUCAUCAAACAUAUCCUCAAGCAUGCUUUGCUUGGUAUUGGGGGAAGAUGCUAGCAUCUCCCCUGGAAUUUCUCAGCGGAAAUGCUCCUUGAUUAGUCUACAGGUGUGAUAACUUACUGUUCACCUGGUGACUCUGAAGGUGUUCCUGCUGUCAAGAGCCCCCCAGCUCCCCUUGAGUUGACCUCG